rnacentral:rRNA from 1 species
AGGAAGUAUCUUUAAGAAAAACUAAUUUAUUUUGGCGGCAUUUCAUCUUAUUAGAGGAACUUGUUUAAUAAUCGACAAUCCACGAUAAAUUUUACUUUAUCAAAAACUUAUAUACCGCCAUCUAAAGAAUUAAUAUCAAAAUAUUUUCUUAAGAAAAAAUAAAAAGUUAGGUCAAGGUGUAGUAAAUUUUAAAGAUAAAAUGAGUUACUUUUAAUUAAAUUUCAGGAUUAAUUAAUUAAAAUCUCUUAUGAAAAAGGAUUUAUUAGUAUUAAUAUAAUAAUAAUUCAUUAUGAACAAGAUAAUAAAUGUGC